rnacentral:piRNA from 1 species
GCUAGGUGACCAAUGGCAAUUGAAGGU